AUUUCAUGGGAACCUUUAAACAUGCCACGAUCUUAUAUGGAAAGGAAUAUUAGAAACAAGCUAAUUGUUCAAGACACGCACCUGAGAUUUUCUGGGAAUUCCACUAAUUCUGAAAGGUCGGAAACAUCCAACAGAACAAUAAAAUCGGGUUCUUCAUACGUUGACGUUCAACAUGUGCAAAACAGAGACGGUCAGGGACGCCUGCAGGAUAUAGAAGAAUGUACAUGGAACAGAACAUUUUCGAAUCUCCAAUCAUUCUCGAGGCUCCAACAUCACCAAGCAAUCGGGUUCUUCAUACGGUGAAGUUCAAGGUGUACAAAACAGAGACGGACAGGCAACGGGAGUACAACAAUUAUCAUACUGUCCUCGAGGAACUCGCUUGAUACAUGUACCAUUAUCUCCCUUAAAUCUGCAACCGCAAAAUGUUGGAGAAACUGAUAGAGUCGGGCUACACUACGAUAGAAGACAAUGUGAACACUAUGACAAUUCACGGUCACGAUACCAACGAAGAGAUCGAUAUGCCCAAUAUGACAAUGCCCCGAAUGUACCUGGAAUAGGAGGCUUGAGUUUGUCCAAUCAAUCUGGAGGCUCCAACACCACACCGUAUUAUGCAGAUGUAGGGCCAUGGAGUUUACAAAGUACAACCAGUCGCGAACAGCCCCCACCUCUACCUUCCGCACGGCCGACAUACUGUGUUCUAGAAGCAGGUCGCGUUCAUAGAGACACGGAGAGGGAUCAGUCCGAACCUAAAGCAACAGUCAAAUUAACAAUACACUCGCCAGCUCGCUUAAGAUGUUUAGUGAUUCAUUUAAUGAAACAAUAGUGUCCGUUCAAAACGAUUCACACACAUUAUGGGAUGAAACAAGUAAUCUACGUAAUGAAACUGAAACGUCAAUAAGAGAACUGAGAAGAAAGUCGUUGGAAUUAUCUGAGGAGUUAAAGGUGUUUAAUGAUUCAUUUGAUGCAGCAAUAAUAUCUGUAAAAAACGAUUCACAGACAGUAUGGAAUGAAAUAAGCAAUCUAAGGAAUGAGACUGAAACGUCAAUACAAGAAUUGAAAACCAUGCCGUUGGAAGUAUUUGAAAAGCUUAAAACGUUUGAAGAUAUAUUUAAUGAAGCAACUGAGUCUGUAAAAAAUGAUUCACAAACACUACGUAAUGAAAUAAGUAAUAUAAGAAAUGGAACUGAAACGUCAAUACAAGAAUUAAAAACAGUGUUGUCGGAAUUAUUUGAAGAGUUUAAGAGGAACAUGACAGCUUAUUACACGAACCAGACAGGUAACCAAGAUAGUGGCUCUUCGUCAGAUCCAGGAGGACAGUGCUACAACAGUACAACUAAGGGCUGUGUUGAUCAAUGUGACAGUAUGUGUGAUGGGGACUACCAGUCAUGUUCGACGUGUAAUGGUUAUGUUACAUGCGCAAAUCGUAUAUUAUUUCAAAGAGACUGUUCAAGCGGUUCAAACUGGCAUCUUGUUUGGGACGAUAACACCAAAACAUGUGAAAGUGUAAGCAAUACUUGUCAAUAGAAAUAUAUAUAUCAUUGCAAUCUUGCAAAUUUAAAAGAGUGUUAAACAUCAAAGAAACAGUCAAUUCAUUGACAUAGGUCAAAUUGGCUCGAUAAUAAUGGCGGAUUUUAAACCGGAGAAAUGUGUUUUUUCAACAUCUUCUACAAUAGAUUUGUAGUUUGACAUAUUAUAAAUACAGUUGUGGUAUCUGUUGUGUUUUCCUUCAAGCACAGGAAAUGAACCAAGCAAACUUUGUCCUCCAAACAUUGUUAUAAGUAACUCUGAUCCGACAAUCAAAAUUAAUGUUCUACCUAGUCGACGUACGUGUUAUAUGAUUGGGUUCUUUGUUCUAGAAGUGAAUUUUGUUUGUGUAUGUAUGAACAUUUAAGUAUGUGAGAAAACUAUCGAUAAACUAAAACUUAUUCUUAUUCAGUUAAUUUCAUAUAAAGAUUUGUGGCAAUUAACUAUUGAUUUUUAUGAUAGUUUGCAAUUUGACAAAUUAUUAUAUUGGUGCAUCAAAGAGGUAAAAUAACAUGUCAUGAUGUUUUUGCAUGUGUUUGAACAUUUAGUUCCACAACGCAAAUGUCAAUACAGUUCAUUUAAUUCAAACAACUGAGUAAUUAUACGAUAUUCAAUAAAUUUAUAUAAUAUUCACAUGCAUAUAUGUACAUUUACCUUUAAUUUUGUAUUCAUUUGAUCUGGAAUUAUAUUAGAACUACUGAAAGUUUAAAUUACUAAUCGUCGUUAGCAUUUUUAUGCCAAAUAUAUGUGAAGGAUAUUUGUUCUUUGUUUGUGACUGUGAUAUAAUAUUUCUGGCACUAAUGUGUGUAAUCAGGAAUACUUUUAUUUGUCUAUACUGUCUCAUUGAUCUGGUUUCUCGUCUACGAUAUGUGUCACGAUGUAUCGUCGUUCUAUGGUUACUGCAUACGUUCUUACUUACAAUUUUAUACAUUAGUGCUUUCAGAUUCAUUUUGAAAUUCAUACAUUUAACUUGUUAUAUAUGUACAUGUUUAUGUUUGUUAUUUGCUUACAUGAGAUAAAAGUAAACAAUUUUGAUAACUUUGGCAAUGCGCUUGAACAGUUAAAUAUAUCGACUACUUCUGAAAAACUUCAAGCCCAAUAUCAAAGGAUCAAAAUAAUCGAAAUAAACAUUCAAAUGGAU
rnacentral:misc_RNA from 1 species